rnacentral:rRNA from 1 species
GAUGAACGCUGGCGGCGUGCCUAAUACAUGCAAGUCGAGCGAGAAGCUUGGAAAUGACGCUUCGGUUGACUUUCCAAGCGGACAGCGGCGGACGGGUGAGUAACGCGUAGGCAACCUGCCCCUGACAGAGGGAUAGCCAUUGGAAACGAUGAUUAAAACCUCAUGACACCGUAGUAGCACAUGCUACAUCGGUCAAAGAUUUAUCGGUCAGGGAUGGGCCUGCGUCUGAUUAACUGGUUGGUGAGGUAACGGCUCACCAAGGUGACGAUCAGUAGCCGACCUGAGAGGGUGAUCGGCCACAUUGGAACUGAGACACGGUCCAAACUUCUACGGAAGGCAGCAGUAGGGAAUCUUGCACAAUGGGCGAAAGCCUGAUGCAGCAACGCCGCGUGAAGGAUGAAGGCCUUCGGGUUGUAAACUUCUGUUCUAAGGGAAAGAAAAGAA